AGUACCGUGAGGGAAAGGUGAAAAGCACCCCGAUGAGGGGAGUGAAACAGUACCUGAAACCGAACGCCUACAAGCAGUAGGAGGGCCCUUGAGGCCUGACUGCGUACCUCUUGCAUAAUGGGUCAGUGACUUAGUGUAACAAGCAAGCUUAAGCCGUUAGGUGUAGGCGCAGCGAAAGCGAGUCUGAAUAGGGCGACUGAGUUUGUUGCAUUAGACCCGAAACCCCGGUGAUCUAGGCAUGACCAGGUUGAAGGGUGCGGUAACACCCACUGGAGGACCGAACCCGUUCCAAUGUUGAAAAAUUGUCGGAUGAGUUGUGUUUAGGGGUGAAAGGCCAAUCAAACCGGGAAAUAGCUGGUUCUCCGCGAAAUCUAUUGAGGUAGAGCGUCGGAUGAAUACCUUGGGGGGUAGAGCACUGGAUGGAUGCGGGGGUCGCGAGAUCUACCAAUUCUAACCAAACUCCGAAUACCCAAGAGUAAUAUCCGGCAGACAGACGGCGGGUGCUAAGGUCCGUCGUCAAAANGGAAACAGCCCUGACCUACNGCUAAGGUCCCCAAGUCACGUCUAAGUGGGAAAGCAUGUGGGAACCCCAAAACAACCAGGAGGUUGGCUUAGAAGCAGCCAU
rnacentral:rRNA from 1 species